UCGUGUCUCUAUUAACUUUUUAUUUUACUUGUAUUAAAAUAUUCUUUUCAAUGAGAUGAUAAUGAUAGUUAAUGGUAGUAGUUGUUUUUCCUUAAUGCUCUACCUUGACCGAAAAAAAAAAAAAAGUUGACAUCUUAGGUGAGCCUCUCUCUACUUCAUCCUGACCUUACAUCAGUAACCAACACCACGGGACCACAAAGACUGGGAAACAGGCCUGUGUAGGAUCUGAAGGGAGAGGAGGUGAGUGCAGGGCCUGAAGCAUUCGGUAAAGCGUUUGUUGAAUGGAUGGAUAUGCUGUACGAUGAGCUCCAUCUAGGAAAUUCUGCGGAAUGUGAUUAAGAGAGAAGAAUAUCUGAGUGACAAGAGGUUUGGUCCCUAGAGUGGCACUGCUGAAGUCGUGGAGCCUUCAGGAGGUGCAGUCUCCUGAGAAGCCCUCAAGUCAUGGGAGAUGAGCCCUUGCAGGGGGGAUUGUGAUCUCUUCCUCUUCCACUUCCUGCCCAUGAGUUGAUCAGCACUGCUCUGCCACAUGCGCCUGCCAUAAGGAGCUGCCUUGGCCUAUUCUAAAGCAAUAGGGCCAACCAGCCGUGGACUGGCACCUCUGAAACUGUGAGUCAAAAUAAAACCCUUCUGUUUACAAGUCGAUUACCUUUAGUAUUUUAUUAUAGUGAUGGAAAACUUACACAAAUGGAUGCCAGAUUUGGGGGAACAAAAUGGAGCCAUGGAGGGUGCCAUUUCUUUAUGGAAGGAAGAGGACUGGUCUUAUAAGAUAACAUAACCAUGUGGUUCAUCCUUCUGAGGAGCAGAGAUCUUUCUGCAUUUGUCAAAGCUUUUGGAGCAAAGAGGAGGGGACAGCAGUCCAGGGUGGUGAUGUGAUGAGGUUAAGGUUGUGUAUCACCAACCAGGGAGCCAAGAUGAUGGCCCAUAGUUGCUGAUUCACCCAACAGGAAGAAGAGCAAAUGGAGUUUACUGGUACAUCAGUACAUGGAAGAAAAAAGAAACAGGAAGACAGCUUCCAGAAGAAAUAUUAUGAUAGGACA